rnacentral:rRNA from 1 species
GACGAACGCUGGCGGCGUGCUUAACACAUGCAAGUCUACGAGAAAAGGGUAGCAAUAUCCUCGGUAAAGUGGCGCAAGGGUGAGUAAUAUAUAAGUAAUCUACCUAUGGGUUUGGAAUAACUCGUCGAAAGACGGGCUAAUACCGUAUAAUGCAGCGGCACCGCAUGGUGAUGUUGUUAAAGUCUAUACGACGCCUAUAGAUGAGCUUGUAUCAGAUUAGCUAGUUGGUAGGGUAAUGGCCUACCAAGGCAACGAUCUGUAACUGGUCUGAGAGGAUGAUCAGUCACACUGGAACUGAGACACGGUCCAGACUCCUACGGGAGGCAGCAGUGAGGAAUAUUGGGCAAUGGACGCAAGUCUGACCCAGCAACGCCGCGUGGAGGAUGAAGGCCGUAAGGUUGUAAACUCCUUUUGAGAAGGACGAAAAUUUCCGAUCGACUCGGAACUUGACUGUACUUCUAGAAGAAGCCCCGGCUAACUACGUGCCAGCAGCCGCAGUAAUAC